UUUCUUUCUUUUUAUUUACCCAUUAUCUCGCGAGUAAAGGCUGUUUUGUUCAUUUAUUAAUGAAAGUCUCGCAUGAUGAACCCUGGAGCUGCUCCCCCCACCUCUGGGUCUGGAAGUCUGAUGGCCGGUUCUUCCAUGUCACAAGCUGAAAGAGAGAAGGUUUAUCAGUGGAUCGGGGAGCUUACGAGCCCAGACACACGAGAGAACGCUCUCCAGGAACUCAGGCACACCAGUCCAAUAGAGUGUGUAAUGCUCUGGCCCUCCUACAGUGUGUGGCGUCACAUCCUGAGACACCCUCAGCCUUCCUCACUGACAGAUGAACAAGAAGUGAUCAACUUCCUGCUUAACACAGAGAUUAUUCCACUUUGCCUAUAAAUCAUGGAUUCGGGGAUUGAGCUUUCAUAGUCAGUGGCGACCUUCAUUCCCCAGAAGAUUCUUGUUGGUGAAACAGGACUGUCGUAUAUUUUGCAGACCUAUGAUGAUUCUCCCACAAAGCCAUGAUUCUGUUUCUGUUCGGGGCAUUUAAGAACAGACAGCACCCGUGUACCGGACUGCAAGAUUCAUCUCUUCCAAAUGAUGUCUUACAUGUAGCUUUCCAGAAACUGCCGAUGGCGUAAAUCCAGUGCUGUGGGCCAGUUUUCCAGCCGUGUGGAAUUGACAUCUCCAGCCAAACUAGAGCCAGGAUUAAUAUCAUACUCAUUAACAGCAAGGGCAAAGUGGUGCUGCAUUCGUUUCCUGAGCUAUCGGCAUGAUUGCUUUAACAUGUUGAAUGACGUUUCCUUCGUCUGUCUGAUAAUCCCAGAAGCCUUGCGCCAGUGCUUGACAGACCAGCUGAAGGACAGACCAUUUGUCCACUGUCUCAAGAAUGAUAACUUCACGAAGCGCUGACUAGUGCAGCUCCAGCAAAACCUAGAAAAUCCGGGCGUGCCUGACCCAUGAAACCCUGGCAUCAACAGUGAGGGGGAGAGUGAAAUGGGAAGGGGGGUUUAGAGGAAUUGUGGAGUAUGGCUGGGAG